GACGAACGCUGGCGGCGUGCUUAACACAUGCAAGUCGAACGGAAAGGCCCUGCUUUUGUGGGGUGCUCGAGUGGCGAACGGGUGAGUAACACGUGAGUAACCUGCCCUUGACUUUGGGAUAACUUCAGGAAACUGGGGCUAAUACCGGAUAGGAGCUCCUGCUGCAUGGUGGGGGUUGGAAAGUUUCGGCGGUUGGGGAUGGACUCGCGGCUUAUCAGCUUGUUGGUGGGGUAGUGGCUUACCAAGGCUUUGACGGGUAGCCGGCCUGAGAGGGUGACCGGCCACAUUGGGACUGAGAUACGGCCCAGAGUCCUACGGGAGGCAGCAGUGGGGAAUAUUGCACAGUGGGCGGAAGCCUGAUGCAGAAACGCCGCGUGCGGGAUGACGGCCUUCGGGGUGUAAACCGCUUUCGCCUGUGACGAAGCGUGAGUGACGGUAAUGGGUAAAGAAGCACCGGCUAACUACGUG
rnacentral:rRNA from 1 species